rnacentral:rRNA from 1 species
UGAGUAACGCGUGGGUAACCUGCCUUACACAGGGGGAUAACACUGGGAAACCAGUGCUAAUACCGCAUAACAUCAUUUUAUGGCAUCAUGAAAUGAUCAAAGGAGAAAUCCGGUGUAAGAUGGGCCCGCGUCCGAUUAGCUAGUUGGUGAGGUAAUGGCUCACCAAGGCAGCGAUCGGUAGCCGGACUGAGAGGUUGGCCGGCCACAUUGGGACUGAGACACGGCCCAGACUCCUACGGGAGGCAGCAGUGGGGAAUAUUGCGCAAUGGGGGGAACCCUGACGCAGCGACGCCGCGUGAAGGAAGAAGGCCUUCGGGUUGUAAACUUCUUUGAUUGGGGAAGAAAAAUGACGGUACCCAAAGAACAAGCCACGGCUAACUACGUGCCAGCAGCCGCGGUAAUACGUAGGUGGCGAGCGUUAUCCGGAAUUACUGGGUGUAAAGGGCGUGUAGGCGGGGAUGCAAGUCAGAUGUGAA